rnacentral:lncRNA from 1 species
UCUCCCCCUGCACGACUUCACCCUUUGGACCAGCACCAUUUCGGGUUCCUCGUCUUGCCCGAUCUCUCCAUUAUUUAUCUCGCUACGUGCGCAUUCCUUCUACAUUGUUUCGAAGCAGAGUUUGGGAGCUUGUUGCGCGUCGUCUUUCCCAGAUUGCUCUGUUGUUUCCUCGGACGGGCUCGGGAUCGAAUUUCGCAAUUCGUUGGCCUUGCGCGUUGUUUCGUUUUGGGUUUUCUGGAUUUGUGGUUUUGUUUCUUUUUGGGAUUGCGUUUUUGGGUGGAGUGGACGAGUUUUGAAGUCGCAGCGGUUUUGUUGGUGGUGAGAGGAUCCUUCUCGAGUCGUAGGUGCUGGUUUUUUUGUGGGCGAGUGCUGUGGGUUUGAAUUGGAAAUUUUAGGUGGGGCCGUUGUAGUGUGGGUUCUGUAGUUUCAGUCUCUGGAGAUCCGGGUCGAGCUGUUUUGAUUGCGGGAGGCUAAUUACCCAAGGUCGACAAGAUGGGUUUGGAUGAGGUAAAUCAUACUUAGUGGUGUGUUUAGGCUAAUCCUCCGACUGAGUCGUGUUUCACAAGUCUGUGAAUGACUACAGAGGAUCUGGCCCAGACAUGCCGUCUGCUUGGGAAGCAGCUUCAAGGAUAUAUAAUUUUGGGAGUAGAUUUUUCUUAUGAGUUGAAAUCAUUGUUACAACUAUUUAUGUUAUUUUUAUGGUUAUGGAAGUUUCUUUCUCCAUCCAUCCUUACCAAGCUUGGAAUUGGUUCAUAUUACAGACGUUUAAUUAUAGGAAAUCGUCACAAGUAGUAUCAACUCACGACAUGGCGGUGCCAUCAUAUCAGGUAAUCCAGGUUUUCAUGUGCGUUCCUUGCAAUGUAAUGGUUAGUAGUCACAUGCCGUAAAGGUGGUUUAGUCUCCAAAGCGUGUUUCGUGAAGUCCUUGUUGCAGCGGUUGAUCGCAUCACCUUAUUAGCGACAGUACUACCUGCACGUGCUUUGAAUGAAGCGGUUUCGUUUUCUCAUUCCGCGUUUGGCCAUCGCAGCUCGACAUGAUAAUCAGAGCAAAUGUCCAGAACAUAGGAGGGAAAACCUCGAAGUUGGUUUCUUACAUGCGGGGUAAACUAGGUACGUCGUACUUCCUCAUUCCCCAAAACUAAGCAUGUCAGAGUCGUUUUUACCCACUCUGAACAUCCUUUGUCCGAGUCGGUACCACGGAAUCCUGCUUGAACAUUCCUCUCCUGUGACCUGUAUAUUCUUUUUGCGAUCAUUGCCUGCACAGAAAAUCGAUCUUGUGGGCUCCCGAACUUUUUCACGAUGCCCUUCUUUGACUGCUAAUGACAUGUGUUUUUUCAUUGAUCUGACGUGCAGGAUACGACAAAUGCAUAGUUGACCAAGAGAAUGACACCAUCAGCAUCCACUCUAUCAAUGGCCUCGAUCCUGGUCGCAUUCUGAAGUACAUUCGCAGAAAUGUUGACCCUCAUGCUUCGGAGAUUGUGCAGACUUGAGGGAAUGGAUGAAACCUGGUAGUCAGAUCGUGUAUAUAUGUGUACAGAAAUACCUCACGAGGAAACGUACGAGGAAACCAUCUCAAGAAUUGGGUGGAGUUGUAGAUAAGCGGUUCUGUUCAACUGCGGAGUGGGGUUGUAGAUAGUGCAUUAUCAAAUAACCUCUGGGAUUUUUGAUGUAGCAAAUUCAUGGCCUGGAAUCAUUUUCUAUGGCACCAUUAGUGUAUGUGCAUUCAUCACAUUUGAUAUUGACUGCUGUGAACAAAGAUUGAUUUGAAAGAUUUGUGAUGGCGUUGCCUCAAGUGCGAGUUUCUGUGAA